rnacentral:lncRNA from 10 species
AAUGAAUGAACGAAGGAGGGGAGAGAAGAAGGAAGGAAUCAGCCUCAUGGAACAGGGAGGUUUAGAGAAUCCUGGCAAAGGAAGAGGCGCCGUGCCAGCCAGGUGGCUCAUCUGUAAAGUGGGCGGCAGCACCGUGAGGACCCAGCCAGGUGACCGAUCACAUGCAAGGUUCUGAUGGAGUCACAAGCUGGUCACUGCCGCUGGUCCUGUCCGCUGGGUGCAGUAGACACGGAGGUAGGGGACCCUUGUGCCUGUGAGAACAGAGCAGACAGGAAGCCGGAGAGGACAGCAGGCACGGAAGCCGGAGGGGACAGCAGCAGCUUGCUGAACGGCCUUCCCAAUGACCUCUCAGCGUGUUUUAGCCCAGCCUUGUUUUGGUGAGAAACUGACUCCGAGAACUGAGUGGGCUGCUCUGAGGUCCCGCCCCCGUCGGGGCAGUGCC